GGUCUCAAGAUGUUUUGGAGUAUCAUUGACCAAGAGCGGGACUGAAGUUACGAAAAGUAUGAAAACAGCAAAAAUACCGCAGGGAAAAGUUGGAAAAGUUAGAAAAGUUCGUGAUGUUUAAAGUCAGAGAUGGAAUUGUGUUUCACAUUGAAUGUGAACACUAGACAAGACCUGCCAGGGGAUCUGCAGCUACGCCAAGCCCAGCAAGGCUUCACUUAGCUGGGUAACAUCUGCUGAGGCCUCCCCUGCCUCCUGGACUUCAUCAUGGCGAUGCUGAUCCCCCAGAAUCCAUCUCAGGUGCAUGCGGCCGCUGUGAAUGGAGACAAAAACACCUUACAGAGACUGAUCACAGCAGAGUCUCGUCUGCGGGACAGUGAGGAUCAGUUUGGCCGGAC